GUCUAUGGCCAUGCCACCCCGAAUGUGCUUGAUUUCGUUUGAUCUCGGAAGCUAAGCAGGGUUGCGCCUGGUUAGUACUUGAAUGGGAGACCACCUAGGAAUACCGAGUGCUGUAGGCG
rnacentral:rRNA from 1 species